rnacentral:ncRNA from 10 species
CUCGUUCAUUCUCAUAGACUGAGAACGGAAGUAGGUAAUGACACCGAAGGAACGCAUC